CCAAUGAUAAUUAAAUGGCUGCAGUAUUUUAACUGUACAAGGUAGCAUAAUCAUUAGUUUUUUAAUUGAAAGCUUGUAUGAAUGGUUUGAUGAGAAAAUAACUGUCUUAAUUUAAAUUUUAUAGAAUUUUAUUUUUAAGUUAAAAAGCUUAAAUAAAAUUAAAAGACGAGAAGACCCUGUAGAGUUUAAUUUAAAAAAACAUUAUAAGUUUUUAGGGAUAAUAAAUUUAUAUAUUUAUUUAAAUUUUAUUGGGGUGAUAUAAAAAUUUAAGUAACUUUUUAAACUGUAAACAUUAAUCUAUGUUUAAUUGAUCCAUAAGUUAUGAUUAAAAGAUUAAAUUACCUUAGGGAUAACAGCGUAAUAUUUUUGGAGAGUUCUUAUCGAUAAAAAAGAUUGCGACCUCGAUGUUGGAUUAAAAUUAAAUAUUAAUGCAAAAGUUAAUUAUUUAGGUCUGUUCGACCUUUAGAAUUUUACAUGAUCUGAGUUUAAACCGGUGUGAGCCAGGUUGGUUUCUAUCUUUAAUUAAAGUAUAUAUUUUAGUACGAAAGGAUCAGGUAUUUUUAAUAAUUAGUUCUGUAAGAAUAAAAAUGUUAUUUUGGCAGAUUAGUGCAUUAAAUUUAGAAUUUAAAUAAGUAGUAUUUAUACAGAUAAUACAUAUUUAUUUUAGAUUAUAUUUUACUUAGUUUAAGAACAUUAGUAUUAAUUAUUUGUGUAUUUAGUUGGUGUC
rnacentral:rRNA from 1 species